rnacentral:rRNA from 1 species
UACGUAGGGUGCGAGCGUUGUCCGGAAUUAUUGGGCGUAAAGGGCUCGUAGGCGGUUUGUCGCGUUGGGAGUGAAAACCUUGGGCUUAACUCAGGGCUUGCUUUCGAUACGGGCAGACUAGAGGUAUGCAGGGGAGAACGGAAUUCCUGGUGUAGCGGUGAAAUGCGCAGAUAUCAGGAGGAACACCGGUGGCGAAGGCGGUUCUCUGGGCAUGAUCUGACGCUGAGGAGCGAAAGUGUGGGGAGCGAACAGG